UUUAUUUGAGAGUUUGAUCCUGGCUCAGGAUGAACGCUGGCGGCGUGCCUAACACAUGCAAGUUGAGCGAUUUACUUCGGUAAAGAGCGGCGGACGGGUGAGUAACGCGUGGGUAACCUACCCUGUACACACGGAUAACAUACCGAAAGGUAUGCUAAUACGGGAUAAUAUAUUUGAGAGGCAUCUCUUGAAUAUCAAAGGUGAGCCAGUACAGGAUGGACCCGCGUCUGAUUAGCUAGUUGGUAAGGUAACGGCUUACCAAGGCAACGAUCAGUAGCCGACCUGAGAGGGUGAUCGGCCACAUUGGAACUGAGACACGGUCCAAACUCCUACGGGAGGCAGCAGUGGGGAAUAUUGCACAAUGGGCGAAAGCCUGAUGCAGCAACGC
rnacentral:rRNA from 1 species